rnacentral:rRNA from 1 species
CAGCCGCCACGGUAAUACGAAGGGGGCUAGCGUUAAUCGGAAUUACUGGGCGUAAAGCGUGCGCAGGCGGUCCGCUAAGACAGAUGUGAAAUCCCCGGGCUUAACCUGGGAACUGCAUUUGUGACUGCACAGCUAGAGUACGGCAGAGGGGGGUGGAAUUCCACGUGUAGCAGUGAAAUGCGUAGAGAUGUGGAGGAACACCGAUGGCGAAGGCAGCCCCCUGGGCCAAUACUGACGCUCAUGCACGAAAGCGUGGGGAGCAAACAGGAUUAGAUACCCCCGUAGUCCCUGUCUCUUAUAC